UGGGGAAUAUUGCACAAUGGGCGCAAGCCUGAUGCAGCAACGCCGCGUGAAGGAUGAAGGUCUUCGGAACGUAAAGUUCUGUUGCAGGGGAAGAUAAUGACGGUACUCUGUGAGGAAGCCCCGGCUAACUACGUGCCAGCAGCCGCGGUAAUACGUAGGGGGCUAGCGUUAUCCGGAUUUACUGGGCGUAAAGGGUGCGUAGGUGGUCUUUCAAGUCGGUGGUUAAAGGCUACGGCUCAACCGUAGUUAGCCUCCGAAACUGGAAGACUUGAGUGCAGGAGAGGAAAGUGGAAUUCCCAGUGUAGCGGUGAAAUGCGUAGAUAUUGGGAGGAACACCAGUAGCGAAGGCGGCUUUCUGGACUGCAACUGACACUGAGGCACGAAAGCGUGGGUAGCAAACAGG
rnacentral:rRNA from 1 species